rnacentral:rRNA from 1 species
GAUGAACGCUAGCUACAGGCUUAACACAUGCAAGUCGCGGGGCAGCAUUUCCUUAGCUUGCUAAGGAAGAUGGCGACCGGCGCACGGGUGAGUAACGCGUAUCCAACCUUCCCAUGUCCACGGGAUAGCCCGUCGAAAGGCGGAUUAAUACCGUAUGAGGUCACAUGCGGGCAUCUAAGUGUGACGAAAGGUUUUGCGGACAUGGAUGGGGAUGCGUCCGAUUAGCUGGUUGGCGGGGUAACGGCCCACCAAGGCGACGAUCGGUAGGGGUUCUGAGNGGAAGGUCCCCCACAUUGGAACUGAGACACGGUCCAAACUCCUACGGGAGGCAGCAGUGAGGAAUAUUGGUCAAUGGACGGAAGUCUGAACCAGCCAAGUAGCGUGCAGGAAGAC